UCUCACAGCUCCACUCAGCUGUCCUGCGUUCCACACAUCGGACCCCUCACACGCCCUCAGGACGAUGACAGCAGAGGCUGUGGGUGACAGCCUGUGCACGCCCUCCAGGGUGGUGUCUUUGUGGGCCGAAGGCAGCGGCCACACAUCCAUUCUGUGAACCGAGUUUCUGUCCGUGUCCAGAGCUCGGUGCAGCCGGAGGACAUGUGGUAACUCUGUGUGCAGGGCACAAGUGGUUAAGGGGGAAGUCACGCCAGUCAUCACCAAUGAACCCCUGUGCCGAGCUGUCAGCGGAGGUCACGGUGUGUGCGGAGCGUCUGGACUCGGUCCCGGAUGCUCAGUCUCUCUCAUCUCCUGUAAGCUGCGUAAACACCUGAGGCAGUGGGGUGAGGAAAAAUUCAGAAUCUGGCAAUGGUUUCUUGGCUGUUCCUCAGGACACGCAUUCAACACAGACCGGUGGGCUCCGCUCCAGCCACUGAGUCCGUCCCCGGAGAGGCUCCCAGGCGUGUCUGGUUCCAGAGAGCAUCCCAGAAAUAAAUUAAAAAGAAGAAGAAGAAGAAAACCUUUGUUGCAAAGAGGAUUGGGCUGAAAAGAACAGUCGCAUCCUAGGGGGAGAUCAGCAAAGCCCAGGAGAUUCACAUCCCCGACCAGCCGCUUACUGCUGCCGGGUCCUGAACAACUCACUUCCUGCCCUGAGGCCUGGGUCUCCUCGAUGGUGCCCACAUGGCAGGAAUGCGGUAAACACCACAGGCAGGUGCACGUGUGAUGGACGGUGCUCAGCUCAGCCCGACACCCUGUGCCAGAGCGACCAUUUCCCGACGGCUGUGUAAGAGACUGUCUCCCAGAACGGCGGUGGCUCCUGGAGGCCGCGGAUGGAAGGCAGGUCAUACGCUGAAGUUCACAGGACUCACUUACAAAAAUCAUGACAACGGGCUUCCUGCUUGGAUUCCUGCUGCUCUGCAGUGUGUGUCCUACACAGGAGUGAGCGGGCACUGCUUUGUUCAGCACACUCGGGGCCCCUGAGUCACGGUUCAAAGUCACAGUCCUUAUGAAGCCCUGUCUGCUCAGAAGUGUGAACCCGACACAGACAGCUCUCCCUAUCUUGCCGAUGCCACCAAAAUGCCCAAAAUAGAGCAUCCUGAUAGAGGGUGGUCAGUCCUUCGCUGUUGGACAGAAAGGCUGUGCUCAUGGCAGUGACUCCAAUCCCCGGGCUUCCAGAAGGGGCAGGAUCUAGAAUUCCGUCGGGUGUUAUGUUGGAUGGAAAAACAUGUCCAAAGGACCUCUUUGCACAAGCAAGUAAAUGUUUUAGCUCAGAAGAGCCACGUGACACCUCUACUCAGAAUUUGCUGUCCAGAACUAGUGAUCUGACCUCAAAACACUGGAAAUGGGCUAGAAAGUGUAACGCUUCCAUGUGUCCAGCAGGAAAAACCUGGAAACAGGUGGUGAAGUGUAUAAAUCAUGAACUCCUGAGGAAAGAGCGAAUCCAUCUGUAUUUCUUCCCCGAUAGCCUGCGGUCUUCUCCAAGGCGUUGUUUGAUAAUCCAUUGUUUUACCUCCAGCUUGUGACAUCACCUCUGUCACACCAAAGGACACGUUUCUAAACUCGUAUUUAGUUCCCUUAACUUCCUUCUAUCUCUGCUUCUGUAUCCAUUCUGUGGCCGGUGCCACAGGUGGUUUUGUCACAUGUCUGGGAGGACUCUGUCUUCGCUUCUAUUCCUUUGUAAAAACUUCAAAAUCAGUUUUUCAAGUUUCCUAAAUAAUCCCAUUGGGAUUUAAUUGAAGUUUCAUUACAUUUAUAAAUUAAUUUGGGGAGAAUUGGUCAUCUUUAGAGUAUUAGGUCAUCAGCUUUUCUUUUUUGUCUUGUUUUAGCGUUUCUUGUUUUAUCUUUAAUAGGGUCUGAAAAUUUUAUUUAUCGAGGUCUUGUUCUGUUUUUGUUUGAUUACUUACCAGAUAGAUUUAUAGAUUUUGCUGUAGAAUUUUAUUUUCUAUAUUUUAUCUACUUGCUUAUUGUGAAUGUAUAGGAACAUAUGUGAUUUUGAUAUGCUGAUGUUAUAUUUGGGAGCAUUGAAACGUCUGUCCUGAGGACGUUUCAUUCUUUUGGGCUUUUCUCUGUGAGUGAUCAAAGUAUCUGUCAAUAAUGGUAAUUUGGACUCUUCCCUUUUGAUCCUUAUACCUCAUGUUAUUUUUAUUUUAUUUUUUCUGUUGUUCUUUUUCUUGUCCUAAUUUUCAGCCAGGUCUCCAAGACUAUAUGGAACAAGUAUCAGUGAUGCAGACGGCCCUGUCUUAUUUGCAUUUAUUUAAUAGGACAGUGUCUGAAGUUUCUCCAUAUUUGCUGUGUGUGACAGUAGAAUAUAAGCGGUUUUAUCUAAAAAAGUCUAUAUAAGACUGGAACCAUCUGUUCCUUGAAAUGAAUCUUUUCACUAAAACAUCCAUAAAACUACCUGGGCCAGUGUUUGUGGGAAGAUGUGUAAAUCACUGUUUUUGUUUUAAUAGUUGUCUAAUGAUUAAGACUUCCUUUCUUUGUUUCUUUUUUAUUUACAUAUUUUUGAGAUACUGACAAACAGUGAAGUGUGCAAAUCUUAAGUGCAUAAUUUAGUGAAUUUUACAAAAGUACCUGCCCAUAUAACCCAUCCCUCAUGAAGAGCUAAAACAUUUCCAUCACCCUAGAAAGUUCUCUAUGCCCUUUCUCACCCUGUCCUAAUCCUUCCCCAGAGCAAACCACUGUUAUUAUUUCUGUCCCUACAGAUACCUCUUCCUAAAAAUAAAGCUCAUAUAAAUGGAACCAAGAGUAGGUAGUCUUUUGCCUGGACUAAUGGUUUUCAUUCACACUCCUCUUUCUGUGAUAUUGUACUGUGUGAAUAUAUUGUUUCCAGAUUUGGAAACAUGCAUAAAGCUGCUAUAAGCCUUCCUAAACAA